ACCAGACUCCUACGGGAGGCAGCAGUGGGGGAUAUUGCACAAUGGGGGAAACCCUGAUGCAGCGACGCCGCGUGGGUGAAGAAGUAUUUCGGUAUGUAAAGCCCUAUCAGCAGGGAAGAAAGAAGACGGUACCUGACUAAGAAGCCCCGGCUAACUACGUGCCAGCAGCCGCGGUAAUACGUAGGGGGCGAGCGUUAUCCGGAUUUACUGGGUGUAAAGGGAGCGUAGACGGUUAAUCAAGUCUGAAGUGGAAGCCCGCGGCUCAACUGCGGAACGGCUUUGGAAACUGAGUAACUGGAGUGCUGGAGGGGCAGGCGGAAUUCCUGGUGUAGCGGUGAAAUGCGUAGAUAUCAGGAGGAACACCGGUGGCGAAGGCGGCCUGCUGGACAGUAACUGACGUUGAGGCUCGAAAGCGUGGGGAGCAAACAGGAUUAGAUACCCGGGUACG
rnacentral:rRNA from 1 species